rnacentral:rRNA from 1 species
GUAGGGCAGCUUACUGACUUCGGGGACGAUAACGGCGUCGAGCGGCGGACGGGUGAGUAAUGCCUAGGAAAUUGCCCUGAUGUGGGGGAUAACCAUUGGAAACGAUGGCUAAUACCGCAUGAUGCCUACGGGCCAAAGAGGGGGACCUUCGGGCCUCUCGCGUCAGGAUAUGCCUAGGUGGGAUUAGCUAGUUGGUGAGGUAAGGGCUCACCAAGGCGACGAUCCCUAGCUGGUCUGAGAGGAUGAUCAGCCACACUGGAACUGAGACACGGUCCAGACUCCUACGGGAGGCAGCAGUGGGGAAUAUUGCACAAUGGGCGCAAGCCUGAUGCAGCCAUGCCGCGUGUGUGAAGAAGGCCUUCGGGUUGUAAAGCACUUUCAGUCGUGAGGAAGGUAGUGUAGUUAAUAGCUGCAUUAUUUGACGUUAGCGACAGAAGAAGCACCGGCUAACUCCGUGCCAGCAGCGGCGAUAAUUAA